rnacentral:rRNA from 1 species
AUUGAACGCUGGCGGCAGGCUUAACACAUGCAAGUCGAGCGGGGUGAUGGUGCUUGCACUAUCACUUAGCGGCGGACGGGUGAGUAAUGCUUAGGAAUCUGCCUAUUAGUGGGGGACAACAUCUCGAAAGGGAUGCUAAUACCGCGUACGUCCUACGGGAGAAAGCAGGGGAUCACUUGUGACCUUGCGCUAAUAGAUGAGCCUAAGUCGGAUUAGCUAGUUGGUGGGGUAAAGGCCUACCAAGGCGACGAUCUGUAGCGGGUCUGAGAGGAUGAUCCGCCACACUGGGACUGAGACACGGCCCAGACUCCUACGGGAGGCAGCAGUGGGGAAUAUUGGACAACGGGGGGAACCCUGAUCCAGCCAUGCCGCGUGUGUGAAGAAGGCCUUAUGGUUGUAAAGCACUUUAAGCGAGGAGGAGGCUCUUUUGGUUAAUACCCAAGAUGAGUGGACGUUACACGCAGAAUAAGCACCGGCUAACUCUGUGCCAGCCGCCGCCGUAA